CUCCCAACCCCUGUGACAUACCACUUGUUGCCUCGGCGGAUCAGCCCGCUCCCGGUAAAACGGGACGGCCCGCCAGAGGACCCCUAAACUCUGUUUCUAUAUGUAACUUCUGAGUAAAACCAUAAAUAAAUCAAAACUUUCAACAACGGAUCUCUUGGUUCUGGCAUCGAUGAAGAACGCAGCAAAAUGCGAUAAGUAAUGUGAAUUGCAGAAUUCAGUGAAUCAUCGAAUCUUUGAACGCACAUUGCGCCCGCCAGUAUUCUGGCGGGCAUGCCUGUUCGAGCGUCAUUUCAACCCUCAAGCACAGCUUGGUGUUGGGACUCGCGUUAAUUCGCGUUCCCCAAAUUGAUUGGCGGUCACGUCGAGCUUCCAUAGCGUAGUAGUAAAACCCUCGUUACUGGUAAUCGUCGCGGCCACGCCGUUAAACCCCAACUUCUGAAUGUUGACCUCGGAUCAGGUAGGAAUACCCGCUGAACUUAAGCAUAUCAAUAAGCGGAGGAAAAGAAAACCUGGU
rnacentral:rRNA from 1 species